CUGACCCUUUUCGUUGUGGGGUCCGGAGUGGGAACGGUGGGGGACAACGGGGGACCCUCCGUCACCGUGAACUCAUCGACCCUAAAAACCCACCGUCCCGGGACCCCAAUGUUGGACGUCCUAUUGAUGUGAAGCACGGCGGGGGUCCGCGAACCCGGGAUGUUGUAAUAGUGCACGUCGUCCCCGCUGUUAAAGCCGGCCUGUGCCGGGACGCCCCCCAGCCCGCUGUGUGGGUCCCCCUGGUUGGCGAUGCCGGUGGUCCAUUGGAUGUCCCCGUAGUUGAGGAUGAUGAAGGAGGCGACGCCGUCCGUGGCCAACACGGCCUGGAAGGUGUUGGUCUUCUUGGACGCGGCCCCAAAGAACGGCACCCGAUCCCACGUGGCGACGAAAGCCCACGUGGGUAUGGGGGCGCCAUCCGUGGGGGGGUGGGGGGCGACGAUGGGGGCGAUGUCGCGCGCCACCCCCCUCAGCAGCUCCUCCGAACGGCUCUCCCUAUAGAAGACGUCCCCCCCCAAGCGGGUAUCCACGUCGGCCCAAUAUGGGGCCACGAAAGGUCGACGGCCGGGUAAUGGGAACGGGUGUGGGGUGAACUCGGGGACCCCCGUCCCGAAUGAGACCACCCCGUUGUUGUUCACAUAUAGGUCCGUAUAGGAUUGUCCGUAGAAGGAGAACUUCUCCGAGAGGGGAAUUUUGGGGCUCAUCCCGUCGUCCUCAUGGGGGGUGGCCGCGUCUCCGACCCCCGGACCAAAGGGGUACAGCACCGCCGCCCUCUGGGAGUUGGCCGUGGGCACAGCGCCGCUCUCCGUGUGUCCGAAGAUGAGGAGGAGGACGAGGAUGGGGACAGCCUUCAUCUGCUCACACCGCAG
rnacentral:misc_RNA from 1 species